AAGUCGUAACAAGGUUUCCGUAGGUGAACCUGCGGAAGGAUCAUUAAAAUGAGAUCGUUUCUUUGGUGUAAAAUGCUAGAGAAAUCCUCCAACCCUUGUCUAUCAAAAUCAAAAGUUUGUUGCUUCGGCGAGCUUAAAAAACGAAUUUAAUUUUAAUAAUUUGCUUGCGCUUCUCAAUUAAUCUUUCUUUCUUUCGCCAGAAGAAAUUAAUCAAAUCUCUGAAUUAAACAAUCGUCUGAAUUAAAUUUAUAAAAACUUGGCUUCAUACCAAUUAAAUUAAAACUACAA
rnacentral:misc_RNA from 1 species